rnacentral:rRNA from 1 species
UACGUAGGGUGCGAGCGUUAAUCGGAAUUACUGGGCGUAAAGCGUGCGCAGGCGGUGAUGUAAGACAGUUGUGAAAUCCCCGGGCUCAACCUGGGAACUGCAUCUGUGACUGCAUCGCUGGAGUGCGGCAGAGGGGGAUGCAAUUCCGCGUGUAGCAGUGAAAUGCGUAGAUAUGCGGAGGAACACCGAUGGCGAAGGCAAUCCCCUGGGCCUGCACUGACGCUCAUGCACGAAAGCGUGGGGAGCAAACAGG